rnacentral:rRNA from 1 species
GAUGAACGCUGGCGGCGUGCCUAAUACAUGCAAGUCGAGCGAACGGACGAGAAGCUUGCUUCUCUGAUGUUAGCGGCGGACGGGUGAGUAACACGUGGAUAACCUACCUAUAAGACUGGGAUAACUUCGGGAAACCGGAGCUAAUACCGGAUGAUAUUUUGAACCGCAUGGUUCAAAAGUGAAAGACGGUCUUGCUGUCACUUAUAGAUGGAUCCGCGCUGCAUUAGCUAGUUGGUAAGGUAACGGCUUACCAAGGCAACGUUGCAUAGCCGACCUGAGAGGGUGAUCGGCCACACGUGAACUGAGACACGGUCCAGACUCCUACGGGGGGCAGCAGUAGGGAAUCUGCCGCAAUGGGCGAAAGCCUGACGGAGCAACGCCGCGUGAGUGAUGAAGGUCUUCGGAUCGUAAAACUCUGUUAUUAGGGAAGAACAUAUGUGUAGGUAACUGUGCACAUCUUGACGGUACCUAAUCAGAAAGCCACGGCUAACUACGU